GAGUUUGAUCUUGGCUCAGGACGAACGCUGGCGGCGUGCCUAACACAUGCAAGUCGAACGGAGAACUCGAAAAGCUUGCUUUAAGAGUUCUUAGUGGCGGACGGGUGAGUAACGCGUGGGCAACCUCCCCCUUAAACCGGGACAACCCUUGGAAACGAGGGCUAAUACCGGAUACGCUUUUCUGAGGGCAUCCUCGGGGAAGGAAAGGCGGCCUCUGAAGAUGCUGCCGAUAAGGGAUGGACCCGCGUCUGAUUAGCUGGUUGGUGGGGUAAAGGCCUACCAAGGCGACGAUCAGUAGCCGGCCUGAGAGGGUGAACGGCCACACUGGGACUGAGACACGGCCCAGACUCCUACGGGAGGCAGCAGUGGGGAAUCUUCCGCAAUGGACGAAAGUCUGACGGAGCAACGCCGCGUGUAUGACGAAGGCC
rnacentral:rRNA from 1 species